GUGAGGAAUAUUGCGCAAUGGAGGCAACUCUGACGCAGCCAUGCCGCGUGCAGGAAGAAGGCGCUACGCGUUGUAAACUGCUUUUAACCGGGAAGAAACCCCAGGACGUGUCCUGGGUUGACGGUACCGGAGGAAUAAGCACCGGCUAACUUCGUGCCAGCAGCCGCGGGAAUACGAAGGGUGCAAGCGUUAUCCGGAUUCAUUGGGUUUCAAGGGUGCGUAGGCGGAGCGUUAAGUCAGUGGUGAAAUCCUGCAGCUUAACUGUAGACUUGCCAUUGAUACUGGCGCUCUUGAGUGCGCUUGAAGUGGGCGGAAUGUGCCGUGUAGCGGUGAAAUGCUUAGAUAUGGCACAGAACACCAAUUGCGAAGGCAGCUCACUAAGGCGAUACUGACGCUGAGGCACGAAAGCGUGGGGAUCGAACAGGAUUAGAAACCCCUGUAGUCC
rnacentral:rRNA from 1 species